rnacentral:rRNA from 1 species
CAGCCGUAAACAAUGUGCGUUAGGUGUGUCGGUAACCACGCGUUACUGAUGCGCCGAAGAGAAAUCGUGAAACGCACCACCUGGGAAGUACGGUCGCAAGGCUGAAACUUAAAGGAAUUGGCGGGGGAGCACCACAACAGGUGGAGCCUGCGGUUUAAUUGGAUUCAACGCCGGACAACUCACCGGGGACGACAGCAAUAUGUAGGCCAGGCUGAAGACCUUGCCUGAAUCGCUGAGAGGAGGUGCAUGGCGUAGACGUCU